rnacentral:rRNA from 1 species
GAUGAACGCUGGCGGCGUGCCUAAUACAUGCAAGUCGAGCGAACAGACGAGGGGCUUGCUCCUCUGACGUUAGCGGCGGACGGGUGAGUAACACGUGGAUAACCUACCUAUAAGACUGGGAUAACUUCGGGAAACCGGAGCUAAUACCGGAUAAUAUAUUGAACCGCAUGGUUCAAUAGUGAAAGACGGUUUUGCUGUCACUUAUAGAUGGAUCCGCGCCGCAUUAGCUAGUUGGUAAGGUAACAGCUUACCAAGGCAACGAUGCGUAGCCGACCUGAGAGGGUGAUCGGCCACGCUGGAACUGAGAAACGGUCCAGACUCCGACGGGAGGCAGAAGUAGGGAAUCUGCCGCAAUGGGCGAAAGCCUGACGAAGCAACGCCGCGUGAGUGAUGAAGGGCUGCGGAUCGUAAAACUCUGUUAUUAGGGAAGAACAAAUGUGUAAGUAACUAUGCACGUCUGGACGGUACCUAUCAGAAAGCCACGGCUAACUACGUG